rnacentral:rRNA from 1 species
GACGUAGGGCGCGAGCGUUGUCCGGAUUUAUUGGGCGUAAAGAGCUCGUAGGCGGUUUGUCGCGUCGUUCGUGAAAACUCACAGCUUAACUGUGAGCUUGCGGUCGAUACGGGCAGGCUAGAGUUCGGUAGGGGAGACUGGAAUUCCUGGUGUAGCGGUGAAAUGCGUAGAUAUCUGGAGGAACACCGGUGGCGAAGGCGGCAUCCUGGACCGGUAUUGACGCUGAGGCGCGAAAGCCAGGGGAGCAAACGGG